AAAGUCGUAACAAGGUUUCCGUAGGUGAACCUGCGGAAGGAUCAUUACAAAUCCAUCCACGUCUCAAUCCUUGAGACCACGUUGAACUGUUCCCUAGCGUGUGCAUGUGUGGGCGCCUUGCUGCGCGCAUGCAUGCAUGGCGCUAGGCUUGUUAAACACUAGUCCUACAUCUGUUGCUCAACUGUAUCUUUCUUGAUUGUAAUGAUCAAGGCAAACAAAGUACAACUUAUAACAAUGGAUCUCUAGGCUCUU
rnacentral:misc_RNA from 1 species